rnacentral:misc_RNA from 1 species
CGUGCGGGUCGGCUAUGUCAUCGGACCGGAAAACCAGCAUCUGCGCAUGGUGGAGCGGCCGGGCGAUCUCGGCACCGAGGGAAAAUUCCUCGCGACGGUGGCGGGGGGCGCCCCCGGAUGAAACCUGGGCGUUCAACACCUAUCUGACGGUGACCUUCGCGGCGCUGACUGUCGGGCUGCUGCUGACCACGAUCUUUCAGGUCCGUUACGGCCUCGCGCCCCUCAAGCGCAUUUCCAAUUCGCUGGCCGCCAUUCGCUCGGGCCAGGCCGAACGGCUGGAGGGCGAGUUUCCCGAAGAGAUCGCGCCGCUCGCGCGCGAAACCAACGCGCUACUC